UGUUAAAAAUCUUAUCCAUUUAUACUGUUAAAAACUGGCAUGAAUGAUGGAAUAAUCAAAUAGUAAUAUGUGGCUUGCCACGUGUACCUUAUAUUAAUAUAUAUGGAGCAAUUUUUAACAGUAGAAAUGGAAGAAUUUUUAACA
rfam:Gossypium raimondii Chr04_contig_1011, whole genome shotgun sequence.